UAUAUAAUAAUAAUAUAAUAUAAUAUAAUAUACUUAAUUAUUAAAUAAAUAAAUAUAUUUUUAAUCAAUAAAAUCUUUGAUAUUUUCCACGCUAAACCGCCUCAGCUAUAGGAAAUGGUUUAAUUUCCUCUUAAGUCCUUCUAAUUUUUCUUUAAUCUAUAAUUAAACUUUUACUCUUAUUCAAUUUAAUCAUUUUUACUAAUUACUCUAAAUUAAGCUAAAUUUACUUAAUUAAAACCUAAUUAAACACACUACUAGACUCAUAAAUAUUUUUAAUAAUUAUUUUCGAACUUAUUUCACUAAGACGGAGGCCCGAUAACACACUUUUCUGGUGCCCACGGAUUUUGGGUUGUUACAAAUACCAGACUAAUGGUCUAUCAUAAAAGUCCAAAUAUUACAACCAAUAUUAACAGUUUAUUGACCCAAUUUUUAAAACCCAGGACCCAAGUACAGGCCCAAUAGGCCCAAUAUCAAAAACGAACCCAAUGUCAGCAAACCCUAGGGCAAGGGUUCCCUUGCGCCGCAGCCCUCACUAGCAGCCUAGCCACUCUAGGCCUCCGUACGCCCCAAUGUCCAGCAGCCAUGCCACAGCCCUCGUACGCCACGCCCGCACCCCCGUACACAUGCCAGCAGCAUCCGUACCUGCAAAUACAAAAAAACAACAGCAGCAAAUAGAAACAAAUUGUAUUUCUGACUUUGAUUUCUUUUUAUUUUCAUUUUCUUUCGGCUAUAAAGCCAAGCCCCAAAUCCCUGUAUUUUUUUUUACACACGCAUUCAGAAGGAAUAGAAAGAAAAAUAGAACAAGGUGAUUUUCUGCUUUGAAUCUUUAGGGUUUAUCACGCUCUUUUCUCUUUCGAUUUGCCUUUUUGAUUUGCUUUUGCGUUCUUUACAUCUAAAUAAAAGAAAAAGGAGACGAAACCUUACCUGGAAAAUAGGCCAUCGGUUCUCCUUUGCUUCGCCGAAAUCGGAGACUUAAGGGGAACCUCAAGGCCACAAAGCUUUCGCACAUAGCCUGAGGAUGCCGGUCAUUGACGUGGUGGUGGCUUGGCAUUGGAGAAAAGAGGUUUAGAGGCUGUUAGGGAAGAAGGAAAUGAUGCUAGGUUUAGGUUCGGCCAAACCUGUCGAUUUAGCCCUUUUAUACAACCUCAAACGGCACCGUUUUAGGCCUUGCCU
rnacentral:lncRNA from 1 species